UACAGAGGUCUCAAGCGUUGUUCGGAUUCAUUGGGCGUAAAGGGUGUGUAGGUGGCGCGCUAAGUCGGGUGUGAAAUUUCGGAGCUUAACUCCGAAACUGCAUUCGAUACUGGCGUGCUUGAGGACUGGAGAGGAGACUGGAAUUCAUGGCGUAGCAGUGAAAUGCGUAGAGAUCAUGAGGAAGACCAGUGGCGAAGGCGGGUCUCUGGACAGUUCCUGACACUGAGACACGAAGGCCAGGGGAGCAAACGGG
rnacentral:rRNA from 1 species